rnacentral:rRNA from 1 species
UACGAAGGGGGCUAGCGUUAAUCGGAAUUACUGGGCGUAAAGGGUGCGUAGGUGGUAUUGUAAGUUAUCUGUGAAAUUCCUGGGCUUAACCUGGGGUGGUCAGAUAAAACUGCGGUACUCGAGUAUAGGAGAGGGUAGUGGAAUUUCGUGUGUAGGGGUGAAAUCCGUAGAUCUACGAAGGAACGCCAAAAGCAAAGGCAGUUCUCUGGGUCCCUACCGAUGCUGGGGUGCGAAAGCAUGGGGAGCGAACAGG